AUAGCGUAUAUUAAAGUUGUUGCAGUUAAAAAGCUCGUAGUUGAAUUUUAGGCCUGGUUGGACGGUCUGCUCUAGGGUUUGUACUGUCCUGACUGGGUCUUACCUUCUGGUGAGCUGUCGUAUUGUUUACUCAGUGCGGCAGGGAACCAGGACUUUUACUUUGAAAAAAUUAGAGUGUUUAAAGCAGGCAUUCGCUUGAAUACAUUAGCAUGGAAUAAUAGAAUAGGACUUUGGUUCUAUUUUGUUGGUUUCUAGGACCGAAGUAAUGAUUAAUAGGGAUAGUUGGGGGCAUUAGUAUUUAAUAGCUAGAGGUGAAAUUCUUGGAUUUAUGAAAGACGAACAACUG
rnacentral:rRNA from 1 species